rnacentral:rRNA from 2 species
AAAAAAGGUAAGCUACUAAGAGCGAAUGGUGGAUGCCUUGACUGGUAAAGGCGAUGAAGGACGUACUAGACUGCGAUAAGCUACGGGGAGCUGUCAAGAAGCUUUGAUCCGUAGAUUUCCGAAUGGGGCAACCCAAUGUAUAGAGAUAUACAUUACCUAUAUAGGAGCGAACGAGGGGAAUUGAAACAUCUUAGUACCCUCAGGAAAAGAAAUCAAUAGAGAUUGCGUCAGUAGCGGCGAGCGAAA